rnacentral:lncRNA from 1 species
GUAAUACCAAUUUCUCUGCCCGGGCCCGUAAAACAUUAAGGCCCAAAAUUAACCUGACCCAAUUACCCAUUUACAAACCUAAAACCCAAUUGAUUAACCCAAAACCAAGCCUGCUAGCCCAAAACACCAGAAGGUUAGCAGAAACCCUAGGCGUUACAGCAGACUCGUGCCGCAGCUUUAGCCCCAGCGCCACACCACCCCCCCGCAGGUGCCGCACAUCCCGCACGUCGCGCUUGUCACUCCGCUCGCGUCGCGCGCACUCAACGGCCACCGA